rnacentral:piRNA from 1 species
UUUCCGCUGAUGACUUAUGAUGGUCUGUU